UACGGGGGGGGCAAGCGUUGUUCGGAAUUACUGGGCGUAAAGGGCUCGUAGGCGGCCAACUAAGUCGGAUGUGAAAUCCCCAGGCUUAACCUGGGAACUGCAUCCGAUACUGGAUGGCUUGAAUCCGGGAGAGGGAUGCAGAAUUCCAGGUGUAGCGGUGAAAUGCGUAGAUAUCUGGAGGAAUACCGGUGGCGAAGGCGGCGUCCUGGACCGGCAUUGACGCUGAUGAGCGAAAGCUAGGGGAGCAAACGGG
rnacentral:rRNA from 1 species